UUAUCAUCCGUGUCUGGGGUUUAGUGACAACAGUAACUAUAAUUUUAGAUUUUUUUAGGUGACUUUUCUUCAGUCUACAACAAAUACUACAUUCUCAAUGUUCAUGGUCCAUGAGCAAAUGAAAAGGGAGUUCUAUUAAUGACAAGAUCUAGCUGGAGUUUUGCUUUGAACAAUAAAUUCUCUCUCUUUGCCUUCCCAUGCUCGAUGUUCUCAAGGAAAGGAGUGGGGAAGGGACCAUGUGUUCUCACUCAGUGUGUGUCCUGGAGUAUGGUGGCGUGGUUUUCCUCAAAGGCCGUGUAAGCUGGGGUGACAGGACGGACGGAAUGCAUCUGCGGCUCUCUGGACUCUCUCUCUCCCACUCUCUCUGUCUCUGUGCAUGGCUUCCAGCCAAAUAAUUCACCAGCUUGACUGCCUCACGGACUUGACAUGUCACCUUUCUCGUUUGUGUCCUUUGUCACCCACAGGUCAGCUUGCAAGGUUGAAUGCAAUGCCCUUUUCUCACUCUCCUCUCAAGUAAGUACCCUGUUGUUUGGGAGGAAGCAUGGACACUGUAGGCUGAGCUGGGAUGACUCUCAGCCUAAGCUCACGGUCACUCUUUCUGUGUGAUAUGGUAUACUCUGUCCCCACUGCUAUCAGAAUGGUAACUGCACAGAGCUCAUUAUGCUCCUGUGUAAAUCCCCAGACAUCCCUGGAGUUGGUAUUUUACUUGUUGAUUAGAGCAGUUGUCACAGAAACUUCCAUGGCUCCUGAGAUGUAUCACACUGUCUAUGGUCACAUCACCUAUAGCAUCAGAGAAGGAGACCAAGCUACUUCAGCGUCUCUGGGUGUCAGCUUCUUAGACCCCAAAGAACAAGUGUGUCUCUUAGCAAGGGAUAACACAACCAAAGAAAAAAGUCCUGCAGCUUUGUGCUUUGAAGGGGACUAAUUGAAAUUCACUGUGAGGUUCAGCAUGAUAGAAGUUAACUUAAGGCAGCAUUUGGGUAAUUUUAUCCCACUCUAAAGAUUUACCUAACCUUGAGCCAAAUUCUCAAGUCGAUUUUUUUUUUUUAAAUCACCAAAAGACUGGAACUUGCCUGUCAAAAUCACUUGAGUGUCAUGGUCUAAGUCUUGGGUUCUGCAUUUUAUUACACCCAUUUUUAAGUAUGAAUCUCACCAAAACUUAGCAUAAUUUGGAUAAAUUAUUAAGCCUUUCUGAGUUUCCAGUUCCUCUAUACAUCGUGAUAUCACACCUACCUCACACACAGGAGGUGGACACGUAGUAUAUAGUUUUAAAGAGCUUAAGUACACCAUAAUUAGCUGUGAACAUACAAAUGUAUGCAUGGCUCAACUAUGUCCCAUGCUUCAGAUCCCAUGCCGUAUUAGGAAGCUGCUACAGUCCUCACGGAAGUGUGUGGGGAAAGGUAUUUCAACUUUUAUAAACAGGCCAGGACUCUGCUCCCUGCAGUGAUGAAGGAGCGAGCCCACUGACCCAUAAGUCUAGAUGGCUUCUCUAGCUCUAGCUACUGGCCAUUUAUUUGGUGGUCCCUCCUCACAGCCUAAGUUAAAAUGCUUCCUACAGCAAUCAGUCUAGCCUGGCUAAAGGACCUGUCUGAUGUAGUUACAUAAUCCUUCCCAACUGUGGGAUCACAUGAGCCUGCAGGGGAGCCAGCAAUGCCCUCUGCCAACCCUGGUUGCUAAUUUUAGGAAUGAACAUAUUUCUUCAACAACAUUUCAAGUAGUAAUGGAUUCACACUAGUUCAAGCACUAUAAACAGCCUCACUUCAACGCCAGGUUCACAGCAAGUGAAUAAGACUGCACUGAGAGGCAGCCCUCCUGAGCUCUAGGAGAGAUCUCACGGCUACACUCCACUUGCCCUCCCUUGCAUUUGAAGUUGUAACCGCACAUGUUCCCCUAAUCCACAAUGACUAUAGCGAAAAAAACUCCCAGGAGCUGUUUCUGAAAAUAUUCACUCCAGUUAUAGAAAAUCUAGUCCCACAGGAAAGGCCUUUCCUAAAUAGCAUUUUUUUUUCUUUCUCUUAGUUCCAACAACUUAACCAUUUUUGUUCUGUGUAUCCUUUAAACAGUCAGAGCCUGUUCUUAGAAAAACAUUCUUUUAAAAAAAAAAAGUAAUAAAAUGGCCUUGAUAUAAACCC
rnacentral:lncRNA from 1 species